UAACUGGAGGAAGGUGGGGAUGACGUCAAGUCAUCAUGGCCCUUACGUCCAGGGCUACACACGUGCUACAAUGGGGUAUACAAAGAGCAGCAAUACGGUGACGUGGAGCAAAUCUCAAAAAUGCCUCCCAGUUCGGAUUGUAGUCUGCAACUCGACUACAUGAAGUUGGAAUCGCUAGUAAUCGUAGAUCAGCUAUGCUACGGUGAAUACGUUCCCGGGUCUUGUACUCACCGCCCGUCACACCAUGGGAGUUGAACUCAUUCGAAGCGGGGAUGCUAAAGUAGCUACCUUCCACAGUGGAUCAGCGACU
rnacentral:rRNA from 2 species